GUAGGUGGCAAGCGUUGUCCGGAAUUAUUGGGCGUAAAGCGCGCGCAGGCGGUUCUUUAAGUCUGAUGUGAAAGCCCACGGCUCAACCGUGUAGGGUCAUUGGAAACUGGAGAACUUGAGUACAGAAGAGGAAAGCGGAAUUCCACGUGUAGCGGUGAAAUGCGUAGAGAUGUGGAGGAACACCAGUGGCGAAGGCGGCUUUCUGGUCUGUAACUGACGCUGAGGCGCGAAAGCGUGGGGAGCAAACAGGGGGUUAGAUACCCUGGUAGUCCACGCCGUAAACGAUGAGUGCUAAGUGUUAGGGGGUUUCCCGCCCCUUAGUGCUGCAGCUAACGCAUUAAGCACUCCGCCUGGGGAGUACGGCCGCAAGGCUG
rnacentral:rRNA from 1 species